rnacentral:rRNA from 1 species
UGCGACGAGCGGCGACGGGUGAUAAAUGCAUACGGAGAUCGCCCGAUAGUGGGGGGAUAACCUGGGGAAACCCAGGCUAAUACCGCAUACGUCCAACGGGAGAAAGGGGCUCCGGCUCCGCUAUGGGAUGAGCCUAUGCGGAUUAGCUGGUUGGUGAGGUAACGGCUCGGGGGGGAAUA